rfam:Triticum aestivum genome assembly, contig: Triticum_aestivum_CS42_TGACv1_scaffold_288518_4AL
AACAUACUCCCUCCGUCCGAAAAUACUUGUAACCAAAAUGGAUAAAAAGGGAUGUAUCUAGAACUAAUAUACAUCUAGAUACAUUCUCUUUAAUUUAUUUUGAUGACAAGUAUUUUCGAAUGGAGGGAGUAGGUC